UACGAAGGGGGCUAGCGUUGCUCGGAUUUACUGGGCGUAAAGCGCACGUAGGCGGAUCGUUAAAGUGAGGGGUGAAAUCCCAGGGCUCAACCCUGGAACUGCCUUUCAUACUGGCGAGUCUUGAGUCCGGAAGAGGUGAGUGGAACUCCGUAGUGUAGAGGUGGAAUUCGUAGAUAUUAGGAAGAACACCAGUGGCGAAGGCGGCUCACUGGUCCGGUACUGGACGCUGA
rnacentral:rRNA from 1 species